rnacentral:rRNA from 1 species
CCCGCCGGCGACCGGCGCACGGGUGAGUAACACGUAUGCAACCUGGCCGCCACAGGGGGAUAACCCGCGGAAACGCGGCCUAAUACCCCGUGACGCCACCGGAGGGCAUCCUCCGGUGGCCAAAGGAGCGAUCCGGUGGCGGAUGGGCAUGCGGCGCAUUAGCUAGACGGCGGGGUGACGGCCCACCGUGGCGACGAUGCGUAGGGGUUCUGAGAGGAAGGCCCCCCACACUGGGACUGAGACACGGCCCGGACUCCUACGGGAGGCAGCAG